AGUAGUAGUUCUCUUCUAAUCACCAAAGUUAAGCAACAUCAAGCCUGGUCAGUACUUUGAUGGAUGACCACUUGGGAAUACUAAGUGCUGUAA